rnacentral:tRNA from 1 species
CGGGAAGUAGCUCAGCUUGGUAGAGCACUUGGUUUGGGACCAAGGGGUCGCAGGUUCGAAUCCUGUCGUCCCGA